UACGUAGGGUGCAAGCGUUGUCCGGAAUUAUUGGGCGUAAAGAGCUCGUAGGCGGUUUGUCGCGUCUGCUGUGAAAUCCCGAGGCUCAACCUCGGGUCUGCAGUGGGUACGGGCAGACUGGAGUGCGGUAGGGGAGACUGGAAUUCCUGGUGUAGCGGUAAAAUGCGCAGAUAUCAGGAGGAACACCGGUGGCGAAGGCGGGUCUCUGGGCCGUAACUGACGCUGAGGAGCGAAAGCGUGGGGAGCGAACAGG
rnacentral:rRNA from 1 species